AAGUAGAGUAUUAAUUUUUAUAAAUUGUUAUAUUAAAUAAAGGAUUUUAGAUAUAAGUAAUGAAGUAUAGAUAUGGAAAUAUUACAUGUGUAUGAUAGUGUAUUAGUACUGUAAAGGUUUUAUGAAAUAAGUGAAAUAAAAAUUUAUUUAAAAGGAAAAUGGUAUUUGUACCUUGGGUAUCAGGGUUUAUUAAAUAUUAAUUAGAAAUUUUAAUAGUUCCCGAAUUGGGACGAGUGAAAAUAAUAUAAUAUUUAAUGUGGAAUUAUUAUUGUUUAUAUUAUUUUUGUAAUGAAAUGUUAUUCGUUUUUCAGGUUAUCUGGUUUUCUAAGAAAGGAAUUAAAUUUGUAAUAAUUGUAGCAUAUUGUUUGUUUAAAAAUAUUAUGUUGGGAAUAUGGAAUAUUCAGGGGGAUAAGCUCAUGAUUAUUGACUAUAAAUAAAUAAGAAUUAUAAAAUUUGUAGGCUUUGAAUUAGCUAUCAGUGAGAAAGUGUUAUAAGUUGUUUUUAUGAUAAAUAAUUUUUUAAAGAAUUUAGUGAUUAUAUUAGAAUAUUAUGUUUAAUAAAUUGAUAUGAGAGAUAAUGAUGAAAUAAGUAUAAAUAGAUGUUUGAAUGAUGAUAUAAGAUAAUUUAUUAUAAGGAACUAGGCAAAAAUGUUACUCGCCUGUUUAUCAAAAACAUCUCCUUUUGAAUAAAUAUAAGGUAGGGCCUGCCCACUGACAAUGUUAAAGGGCCGCGGUAUUAUGACCGUGCAAAGGUAGCAUAAUCAUUAGUCUUUUAAUUGAAGGCUGGAAUGAAUGGUUUGACGAGGUAACAGCUGUCUUAUUAUAAAGUUUAGAAUUUAUCUUUUAAGUAAAAAGGCUUAAAUACAUAUAUAGGACGAGAAGACCCUAUAGAGCUUUAUAUUUUUUUGUAAUAUUGAAGGUUAGGAAUAUAAUUAAAUAUUAUUAUAGAAUAUUUUGUUGGGGUGACACAAAGAUAUAAUAAACUCUUUGAUUUUUAAAAACAUUAAUUUAUGGGGGUUUGAUCCACUAUUAGUGAUUAGUAGAAUAAGUUACCUUAGGGAUAACAGCGUAAUUUUCUUUAAGAGUUCUUAUCAACAAGAAAGAUUGCGACCUCGAUGUUGGAUUAAAGAUACUAUUAGGUGUAGCAGUUUAAUAAGUAAGUCUGUUCGACUUUUAAAUCUUUACAUGAUCUGAGUUCAGACCGGUGUAAACCAGGUCAGUUUCUAUCCUUAUUUAAUAGUAACAUUUUAGUACGAAAGGACCAAGUGUUUUUAAUAAUUAUAUACAUAAUAUGAUGAUUAUUAAA
rnacentral:rRNA from 1 species